rnacentral:sRNA from 1 species
AGCUGAUCUGGGAGUCGCGAUUCGUGCCGGCCGGUCCAGGUUCUCCGGUCCCGCCGCUCCCGCAGCAGCCAUGUCAUUCUUCCCGGAGCUUUACUUUAACGUGGACAAUGGCUACUUGGAGGGACUGGUGCGCGGCCUGAAGGCCGGGGUGCUCAGCCAGGCCGACUACCUCAACCUGGUGCAGUGCGAGACGCUCGAGGACUUGAAACUGCAUCUGCAGAGCACUGAUUAUGGUAACUUCCUGGCCAACGAGGCAUCACCUCUGACGGUGUCAGUCAUCGAUGACCGACUCAAGGAGAAGAUGGUGGUGGAGUUCCGCCACAUGAGGAACCAUGCCUAUGAGCCACUCGCCAGCUUCCUAGACUUCAUUACUUAGGAGCCACUUGCCCAGGAUCCACUUGCUCAAGGAAGUGCUGCAGCCAAAGGGCUCCAUUCUCAGGCAGGAGUCACAGGCUGGGACACCUGAAGGGCCAAGGAGCAUGCCCAAGCUAGGAAGCAGGCCCUCUCCUGGCCACAGGCCUCCUUUCCUGAGAGCCUCCUUGCUGCCCUGGCCUCC